CAAACGGCUGGGUAGGAAGCACGCUAGCAGGGGCCUCUGGCCUUGCUGAGGGUCCCUGUUUCCCCUUUUCCUUCCUUUUCACCCAACAAAACCCUGCUUUACUCACCCUUCAAACCAUCUAUGAGCCUAAAUUGUCGUGGUCGUGGAAUGGACAAGGACCCAGUCUUUAGCUGAACUAAGGGAAAGUCCUGCUUUUUGGCGCGCAACAGGGGAGCUCAAGAAACAGUGAGUGAAAUGGGGACUCAAAACCUCUCACUGUUGAUCCUAAGCAUUUUCAUCCUCAGACUACUGAGGGUGGGGGAAACACGACCCCAAACUCCGUUGCUCCGUUGGGGGUCGUCGGGGGAAAGGCCUUUUCCUUCCUUUUUCAGGACAGACAGGAAAGCCGGGGCUCCUCACUCCCCCUCCCCUCUGUGCCCGGGACGGGAUGCAUGGCCCAAGGGUCCCACACAGCUGGCUAGAUGGUUCUCAGACACAAGCCACCGCAGCCUUCCUUUUCCCCUGCCAGGGGGUUAAACUUUAUCAGAGAGUAAUUAAGCUUUAACCCUGCUGUUGAAAUCACUUGCAGACGAAUAAGAAGUUCUUCCCCAGGCAUUUUUAAACCUUUUUUCACUCCCCUUUUCCACCUCCUCAACAAGUAAACCCUUAAAGUUUUUUUUUUGUUUGUUUGUUUGUUUUUUUUUAGAAGACACUUUACUAGGCCACUCCCUCUGCUCCCCAGCUAUCACUGUAUGCUCUGCAAAGUUUUGCUUGUGAAAUAAAUCCUCUAUUUUGUUUUACAUCCUGAGGCCAUGGCUUAUAACUCUGGCGGCAAGGAUUUGUUUAGCAAUCCUGCCUUAGGGGAUGAGCCCUCUCUAAUUCAAUAUCUGCAUGUCCCCUGUCUCUUAAAGGGCCUCACUCACGGCAUAUGGAACUAACCACGCCCCUAACUAAGAAGGCACACCUUAGUUGCAGUUAGCACACAAUUAAAGCAACUCUCCAAGUUUUACCUUAAAGUUCAAAAUUGCUAGGAGUUGAAACUACUAGAAAUAUAUUUACAUGCAAGAGUCAAAGAAACUUUGAACUAUUUAUGGCCUUUAAUAAUUAAGUAAGGUAUACUCCUGUGAUCAAGACUUGGAGCAUAUUUGUUUCUCUCUGCCUGGUUCCUCUAGAAAUUGGAAACUAUCAGUGAGUAUUUUUAUGACAAUAUAGUUGUUUGCAUCAGUGCAGUAAGAGUCCAUUUUCAAUGGCGGAAUUCUUUUCUCACUCUUUUCGUUGUUUAAUAAUUAUUAUAGCAAUAAUAAUAAUAAUAAAUACCAAUUAUUACAUUAA
rnacentral:lncRNA from 1 species